rnacentral:rRNA from 1 species
GACGAACGCUGGCUGCGUGCUUAACACAUGCAAGUCGAACGCUGAAGCCCGCAGCUUGCUGUGGGUGGAUGAGUGGCGAACGGGUGAGUAACACGUGAGUAACCUGCCCCUGACUUCGGGAUAAGCCCGGGAAACUGGGUCUAAUACCGGAUACGACCAUCGGACGCAUGUCUGGUGGUGGAAAGUUUUUUCGGUUGGGGAUGGGCUCGCGGCCUAUCAGUUUGUUGGUGAGGUAAUGGCUCACCAAGACGACGACGGGUAGCCGGCCUGAGAGGGCGACCGGCCACACUGGGACUGAGACACGGCCCAGACUCCUACGGGAGGCAGCAGUGGGGAAUAUUGCACAAUGGGGGAAACCCUGAUGCAGCGACGCAGCGUGCGGGAUGACGGCCUUCGGGUUGUAAACCGCUUUCAGCAGGGAAGAAGCGAAAGUGACGGUACCUGCAGAAGAAGUACCGGCUAACUACGUGCCAGCCGCCGCCGUAA